rnacentral:rRNA from 1 species
UAGGGAAUAUUGGUCAAUGGCUGCAAGUCCGAACCAGCCAUGCCGCGUGCAGGAAGAAGGCCCUAUGGGUUGUAAACUGCUUUUGUCAGGGGAUAAAAUUUCUUUGCGAAGAAAAUUGAAGGUACCUGGCGAAUAAGCCACGGCUAACUACGUGCCAGCAGCCGCGGUAAUACGUAGGUGGCAAGCGUUGUCCGGAUUUAUUGGGUUUAAAGGGUGCGUAGGCGGUCCUAUAAGUCAGUGCUGAAAUAUCCCGGCUUAACCGGGAGGGUGGCAUUGAUACUGUAGGACUUGAGUAAAGUUGAGGUUGGCGGAAUUGACGGUGUAGCGGUGAAAUGCUUAGAUAUCGUCAAGAACACCUAUUGCGAAGGCAGCUAACUAAGCUUUAACUGACGCUGAGGCACGAAAGUGUGGGGAUCAAACAG